GACUCCAUGGCCGAAUGGAUGAGGCGUUAGUCUACGGAACCAGAGAUUCUGGGUUUGAUCCCCAGUGGAGUUG
rfam:Vitis vinifera, whole genome shotgun sequence of line PN40024, unordered unoriented unplaced sequences